CUGGCUCAGGACGAACGCUGGCGGCGUGCUUAACACAUGCAAGUCGAACGGGGCGAAGUGAUAGCUUGCUAUUAUGGAGCCUAGUGGCAAACGGGUGAGUAACGCGUAGGCAACCUGCCCUUCAGAUGGGGACAACACCUCGAAAGGGGUGCUAAUACCGAAUGACGUUUCCUGGUCGCAUGACCUGGAAACCAAAGGCCGGGCAACCGGUCACUGAAGGAUGGGCCUGCGCCUGAUUAGCUAGUUGGUGGGGUAACGGCCCACCAAGGCGACGAUCAGUAGCCGGUCUGAGAGGAUGAACGGCCACAUUGGGACUGAGACACGGCCCAAACUCCUACGGGAGGCAGCAGUGGGGAAUCUUCCGCAAUGGGCGCAAGCCUGACGGAGCAACGCCGCGUGAGUGAAGAAGGUUUUCGGAUCGUAAAGCUCUGUUGAGAGGGACGAGAGAUAUAAUCAGGAAAUGGGUUAUAGAGGACGGUACUCAACAAGGAAGUGACGGCUAACUACGUGCCAGCAGCCGCGGUAAAACGUAGGUCACAAGCGUUGUCCGGAAUUACUGGGUGUAAAGGGAGCGCAGGCGGGAAGACAAGUUGGAAGUGAAAUCUAUGGGCUCAACCCAUAAACUGCUUUCAAAACUGUUUUUCUUGAGUAGUGCAGAGGUAGGCGGAAUUCCCGGUGUAGCGGUGGAAUGCGUAGAUAUCGGGAGGAACACCAGUGGCGAAGGCGGCCUACUGGGCACCAACUGACGCUGAGGCUCGAAAGUGUGGGUAGCAAACAGGAUUAGAUACCCUGGUAGUCCACACCGUAAACGAUGAUUACUAGGUGUUGGAGGAUUGACCCCUUCAGUGCCGCAGUUAACACAAUAAGUAAUCCACCUGGGGAGUACGACCGCAAGGUUGAAACUCAAAGGAAUUGACGGGGGCCCGCACAAGCAGUGGAGUAUGUGGUUUAAUUCGACGCAACGCGAAGAACCUUACCAAGUCUUGACAUCCUGCGACGUGCAUAGAAAUAUGUAUUUCCUUCGGGACGCAGAGACAGGUGGUGCAUGGUUGUCGUCAGCUCGUGUCGUGAGAUGUUGGGUUAAGUCCCGCAACGAGCGCAACCCUUACUGUCAGUUACUACGCAGGAGGACUCUGGCAGGACUGCCGUUGACAAAACGGAGGAAGGUGGGGAUGACGUCAAAUCAUCAUGCCCUUUAUGACUUGGGCUACACACGUACUACAAUGGCGUUAAACAAAGAGAAGCAAGACCGCGAGGUGGAGCAAAACUCAGAAACAACGUCCCAGUUCGGACUGCAGGCUGCAACUCGCCUGCACGAAGUCGGAAUUGCUAGUAAUCGUGGAUCAGCAUGCCACGGUGAAUACGUUCCCGGGCCUUGCACACACCGCCCGUA
rnacentral:rRNA from 1 species